rnacentral:rRNA from 1 species
AACUAACGCUGGCGGCGCGUCUUAAACAUGCAAGUCAAACGGGUAGCAAUACCAGGGGCGAACGGGUGAGUAAUACAUGGAUAACCUACCUUUAAGUUGGGAAUAACACAGAGAAAUUUGUGCUAAUACCGAAUGUGACGGUUCAGCAAAGGCUGGAUUGGUUAAAGCAGCAAUGCGCUUAGAGAUGGGUCCAUGGCUGAUUAGCUAGUUGGUGGGGUAAAGGCCCACCAAGGCGACGAUCAGUAGCCGGCCUGAGAGGGUGAACGGCCACAAUGGAACUGAGACACGGUCCAUACCCCUACGGGAGGCAGCAGUUAAGAAUCUUGCUCAAUGGGCGAAAGCCUGAAGCAGCGACGCCGCGUGAACGAUGAAGGUCUUCGGAUUGUAAAGUUCAGUAAGUAGGGACGAAAAAAAUGACGGUACCUACCUAAAGCACCGGCUAACUACGUGCCAGCCGCCGCGGUAAUAC